AGUGAACGCUGGCGGUAGGCCUAACACAUGCAAGUCGAACGGCAGCACAGUAAGAGCUUGCUCUUACGGGUGGCGAGUGGCGGACGGGUGAGGAAUACAUCGGAAUCUACUUUUUCGUGGGGGAUAACGUAGGGAAACUUACGCUAAUACCGCAUACGACCUACGGGUGAAAGCAGGGGAUCUUCGGACCUUGCGCGAUUGAAUGAGCCGAUGUCGGAUUAGCUAGUUGGCGGGGUAAAGGCCCACCAAGGCGACGAUCCGUAGCUGGUCUGAGAGGAUGAUAAGCCACACUGGAACUGAGACACGGUCCAGACUCCUACGGGAGGCAGCAGUGGGGAAUAUUGGACAAUGGGCGCAAGCCUGAUCCAGCCAUACCGCGUGGGUGAAGAAGGCCUUCGGGUUGUAAAGCCCUUUUGUUGGGAAAGAAAAGCAGCAGGUUAAUACCCCGCCGUUCUGACGGUACCCAAAGAAUAAGCACCGGCUAACUUCGUG
rnacentral:rRNA from 1 species